rnacentral:lncRNA from 1 species
CAUCAAGUGUGUCCUGCUGUGAUUUUUUUCCCCACUUAUCUUACGUUUUGCAGAGUAUUCUGCCAUAAAAUAACGCUUAAAAUAAUCUAGUAUCAAGAGGAGCAUUUGCAUCCGUCAGUUGUUUGCCAACUGGGUUCCCUUUGGUGGUGUGGCAGUUCCUGGAAUUUAAAUUCAUCCCCGCUUUCUAACUGAACCCUGUGAGAUAGGAUUAAACAGAGAAUAUAUUUUGUGGAGUGCCACACAUACGGUUUUAAACAUUUAGCAAGCCUUUCGCUCCCCAUUAGUUUUCCAUCUGAAAUAUGUGCAGUGUGGGAUGUAAAUACCGCAUUCAGAAACGUGUCUGCGUAUACUGUGUCCUUGAGUCGCGUCUGUCAGUGCUGUGAGAGUUCAUCAGGCCACGGUGUGGCUUCUCAUAGUUUGUACAGUCAUAGAUUUCAUUUGAAUAGUUGUGAGCACACACCCGUGUCAGGACAGUGUCUCCUUGGUUGAAGAAAAGCUCUCUACCAAUUGUACACGUGGCCAAACUUUUUUUUUUUUUUUUACUAAUUUCAGGAUUUGUUAACAUUCCGUGCUGUGGGCUUCUUGAGGGAGGAGGGGCGAUGCCUUGCUUCUGCUCACAAGACAAUUUGCAGAGAUCUCUGAAGUGCAGCAGUCUGGAUCCUGAGAGUGUGAACAGUUUUCUUGUAGUCUUCCUUGCUCCUGCUCAGGGGUCCUGACACAGCUCACACACUGUGCUGCAUGGGUGUGAGCUGUGUUAUGAGUCUCACACCUCACAGGGUGAAGUGAAAUCCUCAGUAGAGGCUCCUUUCUUGACAUUUCCUUUCUCCUUCCUGUUUAUCCUCCGAGCAGGUGUUGGCAUCUUUCAUUUUUGCCCCAUGAAAAGGUCUAGGUGCCGUCUGAAGACUCUCUUUGUCCUGUGCAGGUGUCACAUUGCUCAGUCAGUCCUGCUAACCUGGGAAGCAGAACCAAGAGCCCUGUACGGUGAAGAGAGGAGACAGUGUCAAAAGGUCCAGUUUUUCUUCCAGACACAGAAACCCAGAGAACAAGAAGAAGGAAGAAUGAAUGCUCCUUUGGUAAAUGCUUCCCAGGUCAGUGUCCUGUUCAUAUUUCUUUGAAAUUUAUUUUUAUUAUUGAAACCAUUCAAGACUAAUUCUCUUCCUCUGGUAAUGUUAUCUAAAGUGUUUGUCUUUGAUAUAUCUUCUUUUUCCUCUCUAAUAAUUAAGAAUAAGUAUAGAUCUUUCACAUAAAUAGCACAGCCUUUCCCAUUGUAUUUUCAUUCCAUGUUUUACUUCCAGGACAUCAAUUUUCAUAGAUUAAGACCUACCAUUCUUGAAGAGACUCUCUUGCAAAUGGUACUCAAAGAAAUACAUUGAAGUCCACAUAAGAUGAACUUGUGUCCUUUUACAUUAGUGCAGAAGGAAGUUCUCAUGUAUCAUGUAGAUUGCAUUCCUGGGAUGGUAAGGUUUUCACAACCAGGCCUGUGAAUGUGGACAUGCAAAUACAUGAACUUUUUCAUUGAUAUCACUGAACAAUUUGUGGAAAAGUAGAAGAGAUUCACUGUCUUGGAUCCCAGUAAUAAAUAUAACAGCAUCCUAGAGAGUACA